rnacentral:rRNA from 1 species
UACGUAGGGACCAAGCGUUGUUCGGAUUUACUGGGCGUAAAGGGCGCGUAGGCGGCGUGACAAGUCACUUGUGAAAUCUCUGAGCUUAACUCAGAACGGCCAAGUGAAACUGUCGUGCUAGAGUGCAGAAGGGGCAAUCGGAAUUCUUGGUGUAGCGGUGAAAUGCGUAGAUAUCAAGAGGAACACCUGAGGUGAAGACGGGUUGCUGGGCUGACACUGACGCUGAUGCGCGAAAGCCAGGGGAGAAAACGGG